CUGCUGCGGGAGAGUGAGAGGUGUGUAGAGUGAGUAGAGGGAAAGCUCAGGAGCAGACAGAGGGGGGCUCGGAGGACAAGGAGGAACUGGAGAGACUGAGGAGGGAUAACAAGGAGCUGGAGGCGAUGUACAAGGAGGAGAAACUGAGGAGAGAGGAGCUUGAAGAGACCCUCAGAGACCUCAAGCCCCAGGGAAUGGACCCCCCGUUUGAGACUCUAGCCACCCCCACAGCAACGAUAUAUUUCUUUCAAAACGGUCUUCAGAAUUAGUUGUCCCUCUCUAAGCCGGACAUGUCUGGAGUUGUCUGAGUUAAAAAACAAACAAACAAAAACAUUUUGUAUAAAUAUCUACAGUAGGCCUAAACUACUGCUCUCAAUUAGAACUGUUUCCUGUAUCUUGUAUUUGAAUUUACUCUGAAAGGAAACCGAAUUCACUUUUUUUUUUUUUUAGUGGAAUGGAAUGUACUUUUCUAAGCAAAUGUUUUUCUGAGACGUUUAACGGCUCUUAGUCGAAUUUGCUCUCAAACGUGAUUAUUUUCUGUAUUGUUCUUAGUUGAAUUUGCUCCUGUUUGCCGCUGACUUGACUGUAUUUUUAUAACGGCUCUUAUCUGUAAUGUGAUAUUUUGUAACACCUGUAAGUCGCCCUGGAUAAGGGCGUCUGCUAAGAAAUAAAUAAUAAUAAUAAUAAUAAUAA